rnacentral:ncRNA from 1 species
CAGGAAAUUUUUUGCUGGUAAUUCCUGUUAAAUAACAGCUUGAAACAAAUUUAAAUAAUAA